GUGCAUUUGGAAACAAAAAAAGGAUUAUGAAAUUUUUACCACACAAGUCAUGCUCCUAUUUUACAGUAUACCAUUAAAACUACAAAACUAUCUUUGGAGCUACUGAGAUUCAUCUCAAGGCAUGAGGAUGAUGCUGACUGCCUUGAAGCCUGUGGGGACAGUGGAGUAUUCCAGAGCAAUAUAGAAGAUGUUGGUUAGAACCUUUGUUAACUGGACUUUUCAACCCCUCAGUCCUGCCCAGUGUAGCUGCUGUAAUGGGAAGAGGAGAAAAAAAACAGAACAAGAUAUGAAGAGAUUAGCUCUGUGAAACUGAAAAUGGUUAGAAUGAUGGGUCUCCCCGGAAGGAAAUCGAAGUGAGCUAUGUGUACUUGUGACUCUAAGGUGGAAGCUGUAAGGAGAAGAUCUUCAGAGAAAAUGAGGUGGGCAACUGAGAAACAAUGACAUAAUUUGUGAUGAUCUGAAGGAAGAUAUAAGGUGGUGUCAGAACUCCCAUUCAUCAUCUGCAAGUUAGAUAGAUGUCCUUUUGCCAAGUAACCACAGCUCUGCUCUUAUCAGUUGCACUUCAGUCAGCAGUCAAGAAUACUACAGUCCAGUAUAGGCAAAAACAAAGCUGAUAU